rnacentral:misc_RNA from 1 species
CUAGCAUAAGCGUUUCCCAAAAGCAAGGCCUUGCAAUGCGCGUGCAAAUCCUCAAACGCUGGUUUCGCUCUUCUCUCAUCCUCUGCUUAUUCUCAGUCUCCAUAGACUCUACUCUCUGAACCCAAAUCUGGGUUGCUUUUGAAGCUUCUACUCUUCAUCCCUUGCUAACCUAACCCUUUCCUCUUUCAAGACCCCACACAAGGAGGAGGAGGAGGAGGAGGAGGAAAGUUCAUUUCUUUCCGGCAAUUUCUCCGAUCCGGCUGCCCACUCAAUGUUCAUCACCGGAAACAACAACAUUCCCCAUGGAAUCCCUCUCUCCAGCGGCGGUGGAGGAUUCUGGUGGGCGGUAGCUGGUCCUAACUCCAGAAUAGCUUUAGCCGUCACGGCUUUGGCCGGAAUCGCCGUGUUCGCCGCCCUUUUUUACACUACUAGUAGG